GUUCUGGGACUGACAGAUUGAUUCAUCAUUGUAAAUAUCAGUUCUUGGAUCUGAGCUAGCAAUGUGGGAGAGUUUUAUUUUAGCAAAGGUGGGCUUGGUUUGUUGACAAAAGAGCAAUUUCUCAUGCCUUAUAAAUAAGGUAACAACAUUGUGUACUUUCUAAAGAAAUUCCAACAGAAUGGGUUUCCUGAAACGGAUUUGCAGGAAUUCCUGAAGGAAUGCAGUAGCAAAGAAGAGUAUCAGAAAGAGUCCUCAGCCUUCCUGUCCUGCAUCUGCUGUCGGAGGAGGAAAAGAAGUGAUGAUCACUUGAUACCUAUUAGCUAAAGUUCUGCUAAAGAUGAUUAAAGUUCAGGCAUCCUUAUCCAGCGGCUGAGCAGAGGAACCCCAAAUGACUUGGACAAGCAGUUCCAAAAUGACUCUCUUAUUUAAUUGUGGAGUGGGAAAGAGGACUCACAGUUAGCCAGCUGACCAUGACUGAAGUUCCAGCUUUACUUUUUAUAAACUUGAAUGAUAAAGAAUAGACCAUGGGCUACUACUGGGCAUUAGUGCAAUAUAACAGCGAUAAUAAAAUUCUCUAUUAGUC
rnacentral:lncRNA from 1 species